CGGGGUGUGGCGCAGCCUGGCUAGCGCGCUUGCAUGGGGUGCAAGAGGCCCUGGGUUCAAAUCCCAGCACCCCGA
rnacentral:tRNA from 1 species